UGCUUCUCAGUGGCCUGAGAAAGAAAAGCAGUUCUCAUGUCAGUAAUCUGAGAUCCAUUAUACACAAUGACUGGAAUAUUUUAAGGAGAUGAAAAAGCUGUAACUUGGAGAAUAACAAGAAGUCAUUGUUGUGUGAAAUUGAAACUUUCUACGUAUGUUGGUACUCAACGUAUGUACUCAACUUAUGGAAAUUGGUACUCAAGGCAGAGAGGAGAUACAGCAAGCAAGAAGCUAUUGAUGAAAUUAAUCACUUCUCCAUAUACCAGAGCACUGAUAUCCCGUAUUUGUUACAUCAAAGGAUAUUGACUGAGAAGACAAAUAGUUAAAUGACCCGUAACACAGGGUCUUCACUUGGCUUCUCUACAGCUGGAAAACUUCACCAUAUGUAAUAGAAGUAUCUAUAUUGUGACUGGCAGGAAAAAAAGAAUACCCAAGAAAAGCAGAAAUUACAUGUAGGAAAAUUUAGAACUGUUCGGGGUGAAAGUUGACAAUGUUGUAUUGUUACAGAACUUAAUAAAGCGUAAGCAGAACAAUAACUCUGAAUAAUA
rnacentral:lncRNA from 1 species